rnacentral:rRNA from 1 species
UGCGAAAGCAGGUCAUAGUGAUCCGGUGGUUCUGAAUGGAAGGGCCAUCGCUCAACGGAUAAAAGGUACUCCGGGGAUAACAGGCUGAUACCGCCCAAGAGUUCAUAUCGACGGCGGUGUUUGGCACCUCGAUGUCGGCUCAUCACAUCCUGGGGCUGAAGUAGGUCCCAAGGGUAUGGCUGUUCGCCAUUUAAAGUGGUACGCGAGCUGGGUUUAGAACGUCGUGAGACAGUUCGGUCCCUAUCUGCCGUGGGCGCUGGAGAACUGAGGGGGGCUGCUCCUAGUACGAGAGGACCGGAGUGGACGCAUCACUGGUGUUCGGGUUGUCAUGCCAAUGGCACUGCCCGGUAGCUAAAUGCGGAAGAGAUAAGUGCUGAAAGCAUCUAAGCACGAAACUUGCCCCGAGAUGAGUUCUCCCUGAGACUUUAAGUCUCCUGAAGGAACGUUGAAGACGACGACGUUGAUAGGCCGGGUGUGUAAGCGCAGCGAUGCGUUGAGCUAACCGGUACUAAUGAACCGUGAGGCUUAACCUUACA